GACGAACGCUGGCGGCGUGCUUAACACAUGCCAGUCGAACGGAAAGGCCCCUUUGGGGGUACUCGAGUGGCGAACGGGUGAGUAACACGUGAGUAACCUGCCCUUGACUUCGGGAUAACUUCAGGAAACUGGGGCUAAUACCGGAUAGGAAUCCUUGCUGCAUGGUGGGGGUUGGAAAGCUUCGGCGGUUUUGGAUGGACUCGCGGCUUAUCAGCUUGUUGGUGGGGUAGUGGCUUACCAAGGCUUUGACGGGUAGCCGGCCUGAGAGGGCGACCGGCCACAUUGGGACUGAGAUGCGGCCCAGACUCCUACGGGAGGCAGCAGUGGGGAAGAUUGCACAAUGGGCGGAAGCCUGAUGCAGCAACGCCGCGUGCGGGAUGACGGCCUUCGGGUUGUAAACCGCUUUCAGCAGGGGCGAAGCUUGUGGUGACGGUACCUGCAGAAGAAGCACCGGCUAACUACGUG
rnacentral:rRNA from 1 species